UACGGGGGGGGCAAGCGUUGUUCGGAAUUACUGGGCGUAAAGGGCUCGUAGGCGGCCAACUAAGUCAGACGUGAAAUCCCUCGGCUUAACCGGGGAACUGCAUCUGAUACUGGAUGGCUUGAGUUCGGGAGAGGGAUGUGGAAUUCCAGGUGUAGCGGUGAAAUGCGUAGAUAUCUGGAGGAAUACCGGUGGCGAAGGCGGCAUCCUGGACCAACACUGACGCUGAUGAGCGAAAGCCAGGGGAAGCAAAGCGGGAUUAAGAAACCC
rnacentral:rRNA from 1 species